CUGGUUAGAACCAUAAUUCGGGAUGUUCACUUUAAUUGAGCAGAGAGGAUUGCAAAUUGCGUUGCAGGCGCUCAAAUGUUACAACAGCAGUAAAAGCAAAGAAGAAAUGAAAUUAAUGCUUGCUUAUCUGCUUUAGCUAAGUACUCAAGGUCUCUUUCCGUGCUGAAGAUAGAAGCUGCAACCCACUCCUCAGUGCCGUGCCAGGAGACCCAUCAAGAUAGAAGCACUGCAGCCAAGGGAGAACUUUCCUGUUGGUCGCGUCUUCGUGGGGCCUGUUUGUGCCACCUCUUGCUGUUUGCUACGCUGGAUGCUGGAUGCUGAGAGUGAGAGGAGAUGUCGCUUUUGGUUUCGCAAAUGACGCACCUUGUGGACUAUACAGGCCAGAAGCUUUGUUGAACUUUGUUGUGGUGACCUUUACCUGUUGUUUUAGUUUUAUUGCUGUUUUGAUGUUGUGAUACUUAUAUAUUAUGACUUUGUACAUCGCUCAGAGUGGCUCGGUUUCCAGCCAGAUGGGCGAUAAAUAAAU